ensembl:lncRNA
AGCAGUGGCAGUAAGCAGGAUGGGAGUGUGCCUCUUAGAGCAGCCAGUGCUGCUGAAGUAACAAAACAACACAACAGGCUGCUAAAAUAGAAGCAAUGUUAGAGAUUUGUGGUUAAAUUUCUGUUUGUUUGGUGUUUUAUUUCCCCCCCCUGCAGGGUGAGUGAGAACUGCAGAAGAGUUUCUUGCCAGCUCAAACUAGUGAGCAGCUGUCGUGGUCAUGGGCCCCAAGGAGGUGAAUGUCAGGGACUGGAAGGGACCUUGAAAGAUCAUCUUGUCCAAUCCCCAUGCUGGAGCAAGAACAUCUAGAAAUGUACCCAGAUACUGAAAGGUCACUAUCAGGCCACCUCUGAGCCUUCUCUUCUCCAGCCUCAACAGCCCCAGCUCCUUCAGCCUAUCCUCAUAGGAGAGGUGCUCCAUCCCUUGGAUUGUUCCUGGGCCCCCCCCUCUGGAUGAACUUCAACAGGUGCAUGUCUCUCCCCUACUCUGGACUCUGCAUUUGGACACAGAACUCCAAGUGAGGUCUCACUGGCACAAAGCAGAGGGUCAGGAUCACCUUCCUUGACCUGCUGGUCCUACUUGUUUGGAUGCAGCCCAGGAUGUGGUUGCCUUUCUGGGCUGUGAAGGCACAUUGCUGGCUCACAUUCAGCUUGCUGUGCAGAGGUACCCCCAAAGCCUUUUCCGUGGGGCUGUGCUCAAUCCUUUUUCCGUCCAGCAUGUAAUGAUAGUGAAGGUUGGCAUGACCACAGUGCAAAACCUUGUGCUUGACUUUGUUGAACCUCAUGAGGCUCACUGAGUCACACUUCUUGAGUCCGUUUAUGCUGUGAGAUACAGUAGCUGGUCUACUCACCUUUAAAGAGGUUUUCAGCAAAUACAAAAUGUCACAGUUUGUGCUCUUCCUAAGACUGCCUAAAUUACAGGCAAGAAGAACAGGCAUCUCAAAACCCCAGUGCUAUUAUCUGCUGUGCAACACAAGAACAGCUUCAGCUGAAUCUCCAGGGAAUUAUGUCAAGUCAGUUGCUUAAGAUAGGAUAUACUCCCUUAAGCAUAGCAAAGGGUGAUUUAGAAGAAUGAUAUAAUCCUUUUAGAUCUCUUCUUCGUCCUUUUCCUGUGAACUGUCUGGCUUGCAAGGCUCACGAGUAACAAGGGGAAUACAGUCGGGCUUCUUACAUUUUGCAGUGGGACUUCCCAUUGGAAUCAAUAGAGUUCAAAGAAUCUGUCUUAAGACAGACAAUCCAUAGCUUCCGACAGCAAAGACUCUGUGUGUUUGGUAGGAACAAUUUGCUGACAUUUUUCUAACAUCUGGAGUCAAAACGUCACAUCAGAGUGGCAGUUUCUUUGUCCUUACAGCUAAAUGAAUAUAGAAAGAAAACUACAAACUGUUAGGUUGAAGGCAAACAGAUAACAUUUGCUUUCCUCUGAUAAAGUUCCAAAUUAUGUAUUUUAAAAUGCCACCAAAUAAGGUAUGUACAAUUAAAGACAGAUCCAGGAUGACACAUACAGCUUUCUUCUCUUGCAGUGUUAAGUGGCAUUUUGUAUAUGCUCGUAUUUUAAAAAGAAUUCUAUUCACAUAAUGAUUAUUCACUUGUCUGAAGUCAGUAAGUGAUGAUGUAAUAAACAGAUUAAUGACUGUUUCCGUGGUAGUUAACAAUGCCAAGCACUUUGAACGUGCUUAUAUUUUGAUUAGAUCAAUGGGGAGAGAAAGAGUCAUUAAAUGGAUAUCAUGUAUUGUUUCUCAUAAUGUGGAACUACAUACAAUGCAGUGCUUAGCUAUCAUUCCUGAUAAGAUGAUCGCAGAUCAAGGCAGGUCACUUUCACUUGAUUAUUCCCAAGACCUGACCAUCAGUAAUAGCUUUCAUAUUUUUAACAAAGAAUAACAUCGCACUGAACAUCGUGCUAGUUUCAGAGCUCAGGCAAUAUUUUUGGACAAUAUCUUUUUCCAAUUGUAUGGGAGUCUUUUUGUUGUUGCUUGGUUCUGUGUAUUUGUUUUUCAUUUCUCUCGUGCGUUAUAAUUAGAAACUAAAAAUGCAACAUUUCUUAUUAUUCUUUGUCUCCCAAAGUAAACUUUUUCAUACACUGAGGAGACCCCGAGAGUUCAUCUUCUAGUCUAAUUUAAUCCUAAAGGAAUCCAAUUCCUGUCAUCUUGACCAAAGCACAAUAACUAGGAUAAAUAAGAGAUUUUCUUCGAAAUUGCACUCCUGCACCAAUCCUACGUAGAAACACGAAUAUGGUUGCAGUAAUACCAGCAAACCGACAGCAAAUUCAGUGAUAAGCUGUUCUUCAAGCAUCUUUCUCUUAAAACCUAACAGUGAACAGAUCUUACCUCUCACUGUAGUAACAUCUGAGAUGCUACUUCCUGUGGGGGCUCUGCUUGUGGCAGGCCCUAAUUUAGCCAGUUCUACUGGCUUGUGGAAAUAUGUCUGUUGCACUAAAUUAUGUAAUUUGCAACAUUAUUUUAGUUUGUCCUGGGUAAAACUUUUGUUGGAAGCUGAUGAAUGUGAGUUAAUUCUCCACAUCCAAAUUUGCGACUUCAAAUAGGAAAUCCUUUUAAGCAUAGUCAAGCAACUUAUAUUCAGUUUUGAAUAGAUGGUAAAGUUAUAAUGAUACAAAAUUAUAUAUAACAAAUUUCAUACAUAGAACACUUACCCUCUAAUGUGUCUAUUUUCUUGAGUGACAUUGUUCUGUAAAUGCAGAAAUGUGGAAUAAAAUGACUGCUAAUUAUGCCUAAUAAAUACUAUAAAAAUCAUC